CAAUACCGUAUAUUAAAGUUGUUGCGGUUAGAGAGCUCGUAGUUGGAUUUCUGCCCAGGACGACCGGUCCGCCCUCUGGGUGAGUAUCUGGCUCGGCCUGGGUAUCUUCCUGGAGAACGUAUCUCCACUUGACCGUGGGGUGCGGUAUCCAGGACUUUUACUUGGAGGAAAUUCGAGUGUUUCAAGCAGGCACACACCUUGAAUACAUUAGCAUGGAAUAAUAAGAUAGGACCUCGGUUCUAUUUUGUUGGUUUCUAGAGCAGAGGUAAUGAACAAUAGGGAUAGUUGGGGGCAUUCGUAGUUCACUGUCAGAGGUGAAAUUCUUGGAUUUGUUAACAUGGACUACUGCGAAAGCAUUUGCCAAGCAUGUUUUCAUUGAUCAAGAACGAAAGUUAGAGGAUCGAAGACGAUCAGAUACCAU
rnacentral:rRNA from 1 species